rnacentral:rRNA from 1 species
GUACCCGUACCGCAAACCGACACAGGUGGGUGAGGAGAGUAUCCUAAGGCCAGCGAGAGAACUGUUGUUAAGGAACUCGGCAAAAUGACCCCGUAACUUAGGGAUAAGGGGUGCCACCAUCAGGUGGCCGCAGAGAAUAGGCCCAAGCGACUGUUUACCAAAAACAUAGGUUUCUGCUAAGUCGCAAGACGAUGUAUAGGAGCUGACGCCUGCCCGGUGCUGGAAGGUUAAGGGGAUCUGUUAGAG